rnacentral:rRNA from 1 species
UGUGGCGUUGCCCAGACAACUAGGAUGUUGGCUUAGAAGCAGCCAUCAUUUAAAGAGUGCGUAAUAGCUCACUAGUCGAGUGACACUGCGCCGAAAAUGUACCGGGGCUAAACAUAUUACCGAAGCUGUGGAUUGUCCUUUGGACAAUGGUAGGAGAGCGUUCUAAGGGCGUUGAAGCAUGAUCGUAAGGACAUGUGGAGCGCUUAGAAGUGAGAAUGCCGGUGUGAGUAGCGAAAGACGGGUGAGAAUCCCGUCCACCGAUUGACUAAGGUUUCCAGAGGAAGGCUCGUCCGCUCUGGGUUAGUCGGGUCCUAAGCUGAGGCCGACAGGCGUAGGCGAUGGAUAACAGGUUGAUAUUCCUGUACCACCUAUAAUCGUUUUAAUCGAUGGGGGGACGCAGUAGGAUAGGCGAAGCGUGCGAUUGGAUUGCACGUCUAAGCAGUAAGGCUGAGUAUUAGGCAAAUCCGGUACUCGUUAAGGCUGAGCUGUGAUGGGGAGAAGACAUUGAGUCUUCGAGUCGUUGAUUUCACACUGCCGAGAAAAGCCUCUAGAUAGAAAAUAGGUGCCCGUACCGCAAACCGACACAGGUAGUCAAGAUGAGAAUUCUAAGGUGAGCGAGCGAACUCUCGUUAAGGAACUCGGCAAAAUGACCCCGUAACUUCGGGAGAAGGGGUGCUCUUUAGGGUUAACGCCCAGAAGAGCCGCAGUGAAUAGGCCCAAGCGACUGUUUAUCAAAAACACAGGUCUCUGCUAAACCGUAAGGUGAUGUAUAGGGGCUGACGCCUGCCCGGUGCUGGAAGGUUAAGAGGAGUGGUUAGCUUCUGCGAAGCUACGAAUCGAAGCCCCAGUAAACGGCGGCCGUAACUAUAACGGUCCUAAGGUAGCGAAAUUCCUUGUCGGGUAAGUUCCGACCCGCACGAAAGGCGUAACGAUUUGGGCACUGUCUCAACGAGAGACUCGGUGAAAUCAUAGUACCUGUGAAGAUGCAGGUUACCCGCGACAGGACGGAAAGACCCCGUGGAGCUUUACUGUAGCCUGAUAUUGAAAUUCGGCACAGCUUGUACAGGAUAGGUAGGAGCCUUUGAAACGUGAGCGCUAGCUUACGUGGAGGCGCUGGUGGGAUACUACCCUAGCUGUGUUGGCUUUCUAACCCGCACCACUUAUCGUGGUGGGAGACAGUGUCAGGCGGGCAGUUUGACUGGGGCGGUCGCCUCCUAAAAGGUAACGGAGGCGCUCAAAGGUUCCCUCAGAAUGGUUGGAAAUCAUUCAUAGAGUGUAAAGGCAUAAGGGAGCUUGACUGCGAGACCUACAAGUCGAGCAGGGUCGAAAGACGGACUUAGUGAUCCGGUGGUUCCGCAUGGAAGGGCCAUCGCUCAACGGAUAAAAGCUACCCCGGGGAUAACAGGCUUAUCUCCCCCAAGAGUUCACAUCGACGGGGAGGUUUGGCACCUCGAUGUCGGCUCAUCGCAUCCUGGGGCUGUAGUCGGUCCCAAGGGUUGGGCUGUUCGCCCAUUAAAGCGGUACGCGAGCUGGGUUCAGAACGUCGUGAGACAGUUCGGUCCCUAUCCGUCGUGGGCGUAGGAAAUUUGAGAGGAGCUGUCCUUAGUACGAGAGGACCGGGAUGGACAUACCUCUGGUGUACCAGUUGUCGUGCCAACGGCAUAGCUGGGUAGCUAUGUGUGGACGGGAUAAGUGCUGAAAGCAUCUAAGCAUGAAGCCCCCCUCAAGAUGAGAUUUCCCAACUUCGGUUAUAAGAUCCCUCAAAGAUGAUGAGGUUAAUAGGUUCGAGGUGGAAGCAUGGUGACAUGUGGAGCUGACGAAUACUAAUCGAUCGAAGACUUAAUCAA